AACGAACGCUGGCGGCAUGCCUAACACAUGCAAGUCGAACGAGACCUUCGGGCCUAGUGGCGCACGGGUGCGUAACCCGUGGGAACAUGCCCUUAGGUUCGGAAUAACUCCCCGAAAGGGGUGCUAAUACCGGAUAAUGUCUUCGGACCAAAGAUUUAUCGCCUUUGGAUGGGCCCGCGUUGGAUUAGCUAGUUGGUAGGGUAAAAGCCUACCAAGGCGACGAUCCAUAGCUGGUCUGAGAGGAUGAUCAGCCACACUGGGACUGAGACACGGCCCAGACUCCUACGGGAGGCAGCAGUAGGGAAUAUUGGACAAUGGACGAAAGCCUGAUCCAGCAAUGCCGCGUGAGUGAUGAAGGCCUUAGGGUUGUAAAGCUCUUUGACCCGGGAUGAUAAUGACAGUACCGGGAGAAAAAGCUCCGGCUAACUCCGUG
rnacentral:rRNA from 1 species